ACAGAAACAAUCAGUUGCAUUGGCUACUCAGCACACUACAAGUAAAUUGUAGCAACUGGCAUGGUUGGUAAUGACCUUCUCAAUUUGAGCAUGAGAAAAUGAGUUCUGAGACUGUAGCUGGCAUAUUUGGUUAAGGUUUGGUUUUAUCAAUUUUUUUGAAAUAUUUUGGUAAUGUGUUUGCAGAUUGUUACUACAAUACAAAAUAAGGCUUACAAUUUCUAGCUAUCUUCUCACUAAAUCUCUUACUCACUAUUUGUCUACACUGAUCCCUUUGUCUCCUGUCGUUUUGAAGAGAGUGUCUUGUGUGCUAACUUAAAAAUUUGUCUUCUCAUCAUCAUCAUCAUCAUUAUCACCAUAUGUUUAUUCUUGCUUAUUUUGGAGUAUGCUAUGCCUAAUAAUUGAUUACUACUCACUCAUCUUGUGUGCUGGCUUUCUCUAGGUAAUUAAUUCAGUACCUUAUGAUCAAAGAAGCUACCAAGGUUGGUGUACUUUGGACCUUAAACACAGAGAGGUUGCUCGGUACAAGUCUGUUGUGCAGGUUGUUGGCACUGUGCAGGGACAUAAUAUAUCUGGAAAGGAUCAGCGUGUUCAUUGCUCCAUAAAUAUCAACACAGAGACUGGACGCUUGUCAGCAAGAAGACCAAGUUUGCAGAAUCAACCAGCUUUGGAAAAAGACCGAUACAAAAUCCGUCAAGCAUUCAUUGCUGCUCCUGGAAAUUCUCUUAUAGUUGCUGAUUAUGGACAGGUAUUUAUAAAAACCGACGUGGAAUCCCCAUAAUUUUAAAUAAUAAUUACAGAAGAAAUUAGGAUACCACGACGGGUAUAAAAAGACCCGACGUGGAAAGUGUGUACUUACAACGUCGACCGCGUUUACUACUGGCCGCGGCCAGUAGUGAAAAGUCUGUUUGGCCAGUAGUUGUAUCUCCUUUCUGCACUAGUGUUUGUGGGAUAUUUUGGUGGAUUAUUUAUUAGUGGAUUAUAUUUUCAUGGAUGUAGACCUUUUUUGUUGACAUUAUAUAUGGUUAUAUGGUAUAAAUAGAAGGUCCAGUAAAAAACUAUUUAAUUUAU